UGCGCAUGUGCCAUUUGGACAGUGAUGGGGAGGGGGCUUGAGCUUCGGUUGCUGAGAUUCCCAGCCUCGUUCUCGCUUCCUUGCGCUGUCGGGCGGUGCCUGCGCCCUUCCCAACUGCUGCGGUGUCGUUCCGCACGCGCCAUGGGUGGGAACGGCGGGAUUGUACGAGGGUCGUCCAGGCAGCCUGAAACCGCCCGUUUCCCGCCUCGCGAGUGCGCGCGACGCCCGCCUGGCGCUUUGGUAUCCCCAGUGAGAGAAGUCAGAAUGACAGCCACCACCUUUAUAAAAUGCUUCAAGACCUAUUCAGUGUGAAGACAGGCUGUAGCUCAUUUGGAAACCUCUUCAUACAGCUCAGGAGAAGAGAGAAUACCUGCAAGGAUACCAUUGGAAACUCAGAAGAGCAAUGAUGUCCAGCUAUCCAGAAAUAACUUAGAAAUACUGACCUUAUAGACGAUUUACAACGGCAGCACAAUGAACCUGCAGGCUGACGUGAUAGCUACUAGAAAGGGUGUCUUAAUGGAAAAGUGAAGCAAGGAGCAAGUCAUCAUAGGUUCAAAUGGAGACACAGGCACAAGGCAUUGACCAUGACACCAGUGGUUGAAACCUCUUCCAUUUCUGGAGGAGCUAUGCUUGGAGAAUGGAUGACCCCUAGGUUGGGAUGAAGCACACAACACGUAUCCUGGGAGAGGAGAGGAGAUGAGGGAGAGUCAGAAGUUGGGAGUGCCAGUUGGACACACAGGUGAAGCAGGUCACCAGGCCUGUUGGCAGUGGGAAAGGUGGUCUCCAAAAACGAAGAAGUGAACAUAAGGUUGCAGCUUGCAAACUACAGCCAAGGGAGAAUUUGAGCCUUCAAUCAACCCAUCAAAAUUGCUGUUUUGAUGAUGACUGGUUCCUGAGAAGAGCAUCUGACCAUCAAACUGGAGGUCCUCAACAGUAUUCUGAACCUCCCUUGGGAAUCCCAAAAACUGCAGCCGUGACACCCUGCGCAUGACAAGUGCUCUGGAGAUGAAUCUAGCAGCAGCAUCUAGGGACGCUUGGAGAGAGGUUUUGGCUAAUAACUGACCGUCCUUAAUAAUGGCCUGGAUGUGUUCUCUAUGCUCCUUGGGAAGAUGUUCAAUAAAGGAUGUGAACUUGUUGCAA